CAGGUCAAAGCAACAAACGGCGACACUUUCCUGGGUGGAGAAGACUUUGACAAUACUCUGUUGGGGUUCUUAGUGAGCGAGUACAAAAACACUGAAAAUAUCGAUCUGUCAAAGGAUAGAUUGGCCCUGCAGAGACUGCGUGAAGCAGCUGAGAAGGCAAAAAUCAAACUCUCCUCAACAACCCAGACUGAAAUCAAUCUUCCCUUCAUCACUGCUGAUGCCAGUGGAGCAAAACAUCUGAACAUCACACUGACAAGAUCAAAAUUUGAGUCUCUGGUGAACAGUCUGAUUGAGAGGACCAGAGAGCCGUGCAAGAGCUGCUUGAAGGAUGCCGGCAUAACCACCAAGGAUGUUGAUGAGGUCCUUCUCGUCGGUGGAAUGACAAGGGUUCCGAAAGUGCAGGAGAUAGUCUCUGAGAUCUUUGGCAAGCCUAGCAAAGGAGUCAACCCAGAUGAAGCUGUGGCCAUGGGUGCUGCUAUUCAGGGUGGCAUUCUCCGUGGAGAUGUGAAGGAGCUUCUUCUCCUUGAUGUUACCCCGCUGUCACUUGGUAUUGAGACUCUUGGUGGUAUCUUCACCAGACUGAUAUCCAGGAACACUACCAUCCCCACCAAGAAAAGCCAGGUGUUGUCAACCGCCGCUGACAACCAGACGCAAGUGGGCAUCAAGGUGCUGCAAGGCGAGCGUGAGAUGUCAACAGACAACAAGCUCCUAGGCGAGUUCGACCUGGUCGGCAUCCCGCCAGCACCGAGGGGCACGGCCAAGGACAAAGCGACGGGCAAGGAGCAGCAGAUCACCAUCCGGUCCUCGGGCGGCCUGUCGGAGGCGGAGAUCCAGAAGAUGGUGCAGGAGGCUGAGGUGCACUCGCACAAGGCCCUGAUCGACGUGCGGAACACCGCGGACACCACCAUGUACAACGUGGAGAAGAGCCUGGGCGAGUACCGGGACAAGGUCCCCGCGGAGGUGGUGUCGGAGAUCGAGGCGGCCGUCGCCGAGCUCCGUGCUGAGAUGGCCUCGGACGACGCCGAGAAGAUCAAGGCCAAGAUCGACGCGGCCAACCGGGCUGUGUCCAAGAUCGGGCAGCACAUGUCUGGCGGUGGCGGCGGGGCUGCUGGUGGUGAGCCGGGGUCGCAACAGGGUGGUGGUGGCGACGCAAUCUUGUUGUGA
rnacentral:rRNA from 1 species